rnacentral:rRNA from 1 species
GAGCGGGAAGAGCUCAAAUUUGAAAUCUGGUGGCCUCAGGUCAUCCGAGUUGUAAUCUAUAGAAGUGUUUUCCGUGCUGGCUCAUGUACAAGUCCCUUGGAACAGGGCGUCAUAGAGGGUGAGAAUCCCGUCCUUGACAUGAACUACCAGUGCUCUGUGAUACAUUUUCAACGAGUCGAGUUGUUUGGGAAUGCAGCUCAAAAUGGGUGGUAAAUUCCAUCUAAAGCUAAAUAUUGGCGAGAGACCGAUAGCGAACAAGUACCGUGAGGGAAAGAUGAAAAGCACUUUGGAAAGAGAGUUAAACAGUAUGUGAAAUUGUUGAAAGGGAAACGAUUGAAGUCAGUCGUGCUCUUUGGAUUCAGCCGGUUCUGCCGGUGUACUUCCUUUGAGUGGGGUCAACAUCAGUUUUGAUCGCUGGAUAAAGGCUGGAGGAACGUAGUACCCUCGGGUAAACUUAUAGCCUCCUGUCACAUACAGUGGUUGGGACUGAGGAACGCAGCACGCCUUUAUGGCCGGGAUUCGUCCACGUACGUGCUUAGGAUGUUGACAUAAUGGCUUUAAACGACCCGUCUU